rnacentral:rRNA from 1 species
UAGGGAAUCUUCCACAAUGGGCGGAAAGACCUGAUGGAGCAACGCCGCGUGUGUGAUGAAGGGUUUCGGCUCGUAAACACUGUUGUAAGAGAAGAAUGACAUUGAGAGUAACUGUUCAAUGUGUGACGGUAUCUUACCAGAAAGGAACGGCUAAAUACGUGCCAG